GAGAGUUUUCUAACAAAAAAAGGUCCUUAUGCUGAAACUUUCCAUCCAUUAUCCGAAAGAGGAAGUAGCUGACAGGAUGAUUUCAUUUUCUCAGAACAUCUUGUGGAUUGGGAACCCAAAUUGUGGUGUACACAGAAGACACGAGGGAGCAAUGCCUUGAUUCAGAAAAACAACCCUAUUCAGAAUAGCACUUAAGCACUUGCUUAAUUUUUGUUUAGUUCCAACAUAUCACCAUGUGUGUGAAUUUUCUCUCAGGUCAGUGACCUUGGGGGUUUUUCACUUUCCUUUACAGUGGAGGUCUGGGUUGCCUGCCAGGUUCAUCUGUGUAUUUCUCAUUUAAAUCAUUUCCCUGCCAUUGCAGGGGCCUUGGGCACUAGUGAUGUACCUUGGUCCCUCUUAUUCCCUGUCUGUGGCACAUAAUUGUUUGGUUUUCUGAGUGCUGUAAUACCCUGGUCUAAUUUCAGUUGUUGGGUUUCAUGCGGAGGUGUCCUGUGAUAUACAGGAGGUCAGACUAGAUAAUCUGGUGGGUCCUUCUGGCCUUAAACACUAUGACAAAAAACAAACAAACAACCCAAACAAAAACAUUUUACGCUGAAAUUAAAAUUGUCAUUUAAUUUAAAAAAUAUUGAUUCAAACUGGAAAAUUUACAUUUUGAAUUGGUUCCAAAUUUCCAAUGGGAAAGCCGAAGUUUUUCAAAUCAAAGAAUUUUUGGUUGACAUUUGUUACAAGGAAAAUUUCAGCUUUUUUAUCAUCUCUACUUUUUAGUCUGAAUUAAACACAGCUCUGUUUAUUUUAAUACAUGUGGUUCCAGAUAUGAUACAUGAUCAUCAAUGCAUAUGUGUUCAAUGCCACAUUUGUGAGGUUUACUUCAUUACAGUAUAUGGUUCUGUGUUUACAAUAUGUGAUUCUAGAUUGCUCCCAACUUAACUUGAAGACAAUUUCAGUAAAAAUUAAAUUCAUGCAUUUCGUCUUGGUAGCUAUGUAUGUGAGAAUCUUCAAGUAUUAAAAAAUAGUUUCUAGUUAUUUGAGCAUUUUAAAAGUAUGAAUUGUAUAAUAUCUUUUCAUAAGUUGAAAACAGAACAAAAAUAAGCAAGAAUUUCAACAGGACAACA